GACGAACGCUGGCGGCGUGCUUAACACAUGCAAGUCGAACGGAAAGGCCCUGCUUUUGUGGGGUGCUCGAGUGGCGAACGGGUGAGUAACACGUGAGUAACCUGCCCUUGACUUUGGGAUAACUUCAGGAAACUGGGGCUAAUACCGGAUAGGAGCUCCUGCUGCAUGGUGGGGGUUGGAAAGUUUCGGCGGUUGGGGAUGGACUCGCGGCUUAUCAGCUUGUUGGUGGGGUAGUGGCUUACCAAGGCUUUGACGGGUAGCCGGCCUGAGAGGGUGACCGGCCACAUUGGGACUGAGAUACGGCCCAGACUCCUACGGGAGGCAGCAGUGGGGAAUAUUGCACAAUGGGCGGAAGCCUGAUGCAGCAACGCCGCGUGCGGGAUGAUGGCCUUCGGGUUGUAAACCGCUUUCGCCUGUGACGAAGCGUGAGUGACGGUAAUGGGUAAAGAAGCACCGGCUAACUACGUGCCAGCAGCCGCGGUGAUACGUAGGGUGCGAGCGUUGUCCGGAUUUAUUGGGCGUAAAGGGCUCGUAGGUGGUUGAUCGCGUCGGAAGUGUAAUCUUGGGGCUUAACCCUGAGCGUGCUUUCGAUACGGGUUGACUUGAGGAAGGUAGGGGAGAAUGGAAUUCCUGGUGGAGCGGUGGAAUGCGCAGAUAUCAGGAGGAACACCAGUGGCGAAGGCGGUUCUCUGGGCCUUUCCUGACGCUGAGGAGCGAAAGCGUGGGGAGCGAACAGGCUUAGAUACCCUGGUAGUCCACGCUGUAAACGGUGGGUACUAGGUGUGGGGUCCAUUCCACGGGUUCCGUGCCGUAGCUAACGCUUUAAGUACCCCGCCUGGGGAGUACGGCCGCAAGGCUAAAACUCAAAGGAAUUGACGGGGCCCCGCACAAGCGGCGGAGCAUGCGGAUUAAUUCGAUGCAACGCGUAGAACCUUACCUGGGUUUGACAUGGAUCGGGAGCGCUCAGAGAUGGGUGUGCCUCUUUUGGGGUCGGUUCACAGGUGGUGCAUGGCUGUCGUCAGCUCGUGUCGUGAGAUGUUGGGUUAAGUCCCGCAACGAGCGCAACCCUUGUUCACUGUUGCCAGCACGUUAUGGUGGGGACUCAGUGGAGACCGCCGGGGUCAACUCGGAGGAAGGUGGGGAUGACGUCAAGUCAUCAUGCCCCUUAUGUCCAGGGCUUCACGCAUGCUACAAUGGCUGGUACAGAGAGUGGCGAGCCUGUGAGGGUGAGCGAAUCUCGGAAAGCCGGUCUCAGUUCGGAUUGGGGUCUGCAACUCGACCUCAUGAAGUCGGAGUCGCUAGUAAUCGCAGAUCAGCAACGCUGCGGUGAAUACGUUCCCGGG
rnacentral:rRNA from 1 species